rnacentral:rRNA from 1 species
CACUCCUACGGGAGGCAACAGUGGGGAAUAUUGGACAAUGGGCGCAAGCCUGAUCCAGCCAUGCCGCGUGAGUGAUGAAGGCCCUAGGGUUGUAAAGCUCUUUCACCGGUGAAGAUAAUGACGGUAACCGGAGAAGAAGCCCCGGCUAACUUCGUGCCAGCAGCCGCGGUAAUACGAAGGGGGCUAGCGUUGUUCGGAUUUACUGGGCGUAAAGCGCACGUAGGCGGACUAUUAAGUCAGGGGUGAAAUCCCGGGGCUCAACCCCGGAACUGCCUUUGAUACUGGUAGUCUUGAGUUCGAGAGAGGUGAGUGGAAUUCCGAGUGUAGAGGUGAAAUUCGUAGAUAUUCGGAGGAACACCAGUGGCGAAGGCGGCUCACUGGCUCGAUACUGACGCUGAGGUGCGAAAGCGUGGGGAGCAAACAGGAUUAGAAACCCGAGUAGUCCCA